AGGCACCCUGACAGCCAGGCCAGCAAGAGCCCUGACAUGUGGUCUAACCCCUGCCCUGUGAUGACUUCCUGGCAUCCCUGAACAAGAGCUGAGCUUCUGCUCAGACCCCUCCCUGGAGAGAAAACCUCUGGGCUGCUGUGCAGGCCAUUCUGUGACAAGGAUUCCAACACCUCGCUUGACCCACCAGAAGAGCUGGGUCCCGGGAUGGCAGGGAGAGAACCACCAGGCCAGCUCCUGGGGGAGAGAGGCCCAAAGAAAUGCUAGGAACUGAUUCCUGUGCUCACCUGUGACCACCCAGCUUGAGACAAUAGACUUGCUUCCUGCUGCGGCCACCAAGAUGGCAGACCCACUACCUGCUGUGUCC
rnacentral:lncRNA from 1 species